GACGAACGCUGGCGGCGUGCCUAACACAUGCAAGUCGAACGGAAAGGCCAUGCUCUUGCGGCGCGCUCGAGUGGCGAAGGGGGGAGAAACACGCGAGUAAACUGCCCCUGAAUUUGGGGUAUCUCUAGGAGACUGGGGAUAAUAUCGGAUAGAAUCUCUUGCUGCAUGGUGGGGGUUGGAAAGAUUCGGCGGUUGGGGAUAGACUCGCGGCUUACCAGCUUGUUAGUCUGGUAGUGGUGUACCACGGCUAUGAAGGGUAGCCGGCCUGAGAGCGUGACCGGCGACAUGAGGACUAAGAUACGGCCCAGACGCCUACGUGCGGCAGCGGUGGAGAAUAUUGCACAAUGGGGGGGAGCCAGAUGCAACGGCGCCGCGUGCGUGAUGCCGGGCUACGUGUGAUGAACCACUGUCUCCUGUGACGAAGCGUGAGUGACGGUAAUGGGUAAGGAAGCACCGGCUAACUACGUG
rnacentral:rRNA from 1 species